rnacentral:rRNA from 1 species
UACAGAGGGUGCGAGCGUUGUCCGGAAUUACUGGGCGUAAAGGGCGCGUAGGCGGCACGGCAAGUCAGGAGUGAAAGGCCUGGGCUCAACCGAGGAACUGCUUUUGAGACUGCCGAGCUAGAGUGCAGAAGGGGCAACUGGAAUUCCCAGUGUAGCGGUGAAAUGCGUAGAUAUUGGGAAGAACACCUGAGGCGAAGGCGGGUUGCUGGGCUGACACUGACGCUGAGGCGCGAAAGCCAGGGGAGCAAACGGG